rnacentral:misc_RNA from 1 species
UGUGGGAGCGAGCCUGCUCGCGAUAGCGGUAUUCCAGCCAACUUCGAUGUGACUGGUCCACCGCCAUCGCGAGCAGGCUCGCUCCCACA